rnacentral:rRNA from 1 species
AGAGUUUGAUCCUGGCUCAGGAUGAACGCUAGCGGCAGGCUUAAUACAUGCAAGUCGUACGGCAGCACGGGUAGCAAUACCUGGUGGCGAGUGGCGCACGGGUGCGUAACGCGUAUGCAACCUACCCUUAACAGAGACAUAACCUGGCGAAAGCUGGGCUAAUAUCUCAUGAGGUUAUAGAGGGGCAUCCCUAAAUAAUCAAAGCAGCGAUGUGGUUAAGGAUGGGCAUGCGUCCCAUUAGCUAGUUGGUGAGGUAACGGCUCACCAAGGCGACGAUGGGUAGGGGUUCUGAGAGGAAGGUCCCCCACACUGGUACUGAGACACGGACCAGACUCCUACGGGAGGCAGCAGUAAGGAAUAUUGGGCAAUGGUCGGAAGACUGACCCAGCCAUGCCGCGUGCAGGAAGAAGGCCCUAUGGGUUGUAAACUGCUUUAGCCAGGGGCUAAACCUACCGAUGCGUUGGUAGCUGAAGGUACCUGGAGAAUAAGCAUCGGCUAACUCCGUGCCAGCCGCCGCGGUAAUAC